GUCCACGCCGUAAACGUUGGGAACUAGGUGUUGGCGACAUUCCACGUCGUCGGUGCCGCAGCUAACGCAUUAAGUUCCCCGCCUGGGGAGUACGGCCGCAAGGCUAAAACUCAAAGGAAUUGACGGGGGCCCGCACAAGCAGCGGAGCAUGUGGCUUAAUUCGACGCAACGCGAAGAACCUUACCAAGGCUUGACAUAUACCGGAAACGGCUAGAGAUAGUCGCCCCCUUGUGGUCGGUAUACAGGUGGUGCAUGGUUGUCGU
rnacentral:rRNA from 1 species